UACGUAGGGUGCGAGCGUUAAUCGGAAUUACUGGGCGUAAAGCGUGCGCAGGCGGUUCGCCGUGUCCGAUGUGAAAGCCCCGGGCUCAACCUGGGAACGGCAUUGGAAACUGGCGGGCUGGAGUAUGGCAGAGGGGGGUGGAAUUCCACGUGUAGCAGUGAAAUGCGUAGAGAUGUGGAGGAACACCGAUGGCGAAGGCAGCCCCCUGGGCCAAUACUGACGCUCAUGCACGAAAGCGUGGGGAGCAAACAGG
rnacentral:rRNA from 1 species